AACGACUUAACUUAUUCGGAGUCUUGCCGAACUUCUCGAGUAUUAGUUAAAUUCCCGAUAUUUAUCUUUAAUGUGGCCAUCCAUCGUUCAUGGUGGCAUGGUAUUAGGGAAGUCUGUAAACAAACCCCGCUGCUUUAAUUAGCGGCUUACGCUAUGAUCUAAAUUAUCAUAGGUCCAUUUUCAAAUUUAAAUCCUCUUGGAUUGAAAUACUUAAUUAUUCUUGGAUUAAGUAUAAAGUGUAAUUGGAUUGGUGAGGUCUAAUUUAAUUAAAUUCCAUGGUCUAACUUUUAUUGAGGGCAGAGGUCCAAAAACGUGGCCCCAAAUAAUUUAAAUAAAAGAGCCCAGCUCUUUCUCUUCCUUUCUUGUUUUUUUUAUGAACUCCUUGGCCCAAAUUAAUUUUAAAGGAAAGGCCCAAUUCUAAACCAGGAGGGUGGCCCAACUAGGAGAUGUACUCCUAUCCGUCGCUGCACCCUCUCACUUUCUCAUCUCUUUCUUUCCCAAUUCCCAAAUCAAUUUCUACCCUAACUCUUCACCACCGACGACUCCAGUGGGUCGACAUCAGCCUAGCAGGCUCCGUCGAUGGCCUGGUGAAGUCAGCACGGCACAGCGGCCGUCGCUGCUGUCUCAGGGAUCUCGUCGCAGGGCUCCCUCUGCCGGCGCCUUUCGUCACUUCCUCUCUCUCGGCUGCAUCACUGCUCCCACUGUCGCCAGCUAUGGACCGGCGACGAGCCGCUGUCACCAGCCAUCACAGCGUCACCGUCGACGCUGAUUCUGGCGUGAGACACGAUGCUGAACUUCGUCCUUCGGUGACCGAGGUCAGCAGCCGUCGUCUACCCGCACCGCUACAACCGGCGGCCCAUCCGUCCGCCCCCUCUUCUCGUAGCUAAGUUUGGUAUUUAAAUUCCUAGUUUACACUUUAGUCUAGAUUUCUAGUUUUGAGCAUGUCGGUGCUUUGUGAUGUUGGAGAUCUUGGCUAAUGUGUUUUAGAGUUAUGAUUUUUGGGAAAGUUUAGUUCAAAGCAGUAGUAUAGGGUGGCUGUUGACAUGAUUCAAGCUUAGUAUGCUGUGCUCGCUUGAUUCCAAGUGUUUCAAACAUAUGAAUGAAAGAGUGUUACCUCUUGAAAGUAGCUACUGUUCCUGAGCCUCUGCUCCUAGAACUCCAAGCUCUCUAGCCCUCCCUAUUUCGGCCCCUCUCUCACCCCUUUUACUCCCUUGCUCGUGUUAUGUGGUGGUGUAUGGAGUAAAGCUGGGGGUUAUCCCUAUAUAUAAAGGGUGUGUAACUGAAAGCUGCAAGAGUUGGUUAUUUGGCUGAAAAGAAAGAGUCCUUAGGCUGUGAAAGUCGGCUGCCCUUUCUGCAGCUUUGCAGAGCACGAAUCUCUGCUGUCUCUCUAACAGAUUCUGGUGGCUCUUGAUGGUGUACUAGUGAACUCAUUAUGGCUGCCGUAGAGCCUCUGUUUUCCUGAUCCCCUCUUUGCUGAAAUUCUACUGAUUUCUUUUGUGAAUUUACAGGUACAAGCUGGGCUAGGGGGUGGCUAGGCUGGGGUGCAAGGUGCUGUGACCUCCUCUCUGAGACCUGGUGCACUCGGUAGUCCAAGGGACCGAGGCUGACUCUUCCUGGCUGCUAUCUCGUCAAUUUGGCCCAACGGGCCGUCGGGAAACUGGGCUGAACCAAGCUAAGGAGGAGACCCAAAGCUAGCUUUCCCCUUCUUUUCAUUUUAUUCUUUUUCCUUCUCUAUAUGUUGUAAUAGAGUUGUUCUAUUUGAAAUCUCUCUUUUCUUUAACAUGUAAUAGUUAUUUGGUGUGUAUUACUUUUCAAGCAUUUGCACUUUAUUAGCUUGAAAUUCUCAAAUCUUGUAUUUCUUUUACUCAAGAAAUAAACAAAUACUCUUUCUUCUUUA